rnacentral:rRNA from 1 species
GACGAACGCUGGCGGCGUGCUUAACACAUGCAAGUCGAACGGAGUGGCGAACGGGUGGGUAACACGUGGGUGACCUGCCCUGCACUUCGGGAUACGCCGGGGAAACUGGGUCUGAUACCGGAUAGUGUGGGAUGGGCGCGCGGCCAAUCGGCUUGUUGGUGGGGUAAUGGCCUGCCAAGGCGGCGACGGGUAGCCGGACUGAGAGGGUGGACGGCCACAUGGGUACUGAGACACGGCCCAGACUGCUACGGGAGGCAGCGGUGGAGAAUAUUGCCCAAUGGGCGCACGCCUGAUACGGCGACGCCGGGUGGGGGAUGACGGCUUUCGGGUGGUAAACUCCUUUCACCAUCAACGCGGUAGAUGGAGAAGAAGCCCCGGCUAACUACGUGCCAGCAGCCGCGGUAAUAC